UGGGGGAUAGUUUAAUGGUAGAACUUCCGGCUCUGACCCGGACAGUCUUGGUUCGAAUCCAGGUCCCCCAGCCA
rnacentral:tRNA from 1 species